AGUCGCCCGCCUGGGGAGUACGGCCGCAAGGUUAAAACUCAAAUGAAUUGACGGGGGCCCGCACAAGCGGUGGAGCAUGUGGUUUAAUUCGAUGCAACGCGAAGAACCUUACCUACUCUUGACAUCCAGAGAACUUAGCAGAGAUGCUUUGGUGCCUUCGGGAACUCUGAGACAGGUGCUGCAUGGCUGUCGUCAGCUCGUGUUGUGAAAUGUUGGGUUAAGUCCCGCAACGAGCGCAACCCUUAUCCUUUGUUGCCAGCGGUUAGGCCGGGAACUCAAAGGAGACUGCCAGUGAUAAACUGGAGGAAGGUGGGGAUGACGUCAAGUCAUCAUGGCCCUUAGGAGUAGGGCUACACACGUGCUGCAAUGGCGCAUUCAAAGAGAAUCGACCUCGCGAGAGCAAGCGGACCUCAUAAAGUGCGUUGUAGUCCGGAUUGGAGUCUGCAACUCGACUCCAUGAAGUCGGAAUCGCUAGUAAUCGUGGAUCAGAACGCCACGGUGAAUACGUUCCCGGCCCUUGUACACCCCGCCCGUCACACCAUGGGAGUGGGUUGCAAAAGAAGUAGGUAGCUUAACCUUCGGGAGGCCGCUUCCCACUUUGAGAUUCAGGCCUGCGGGAAGUCG
rnacentral:rRNA from 1 species